rnacentral:rRNA from 1 species
GUCGAGCGGAUCGAUGGAAGCUUGCUUCCUGAGAUCAGCGGCGGACGGGUGAGUAACACGUGGGCAACCUGCCCCUAAGAUCGGGAUAACUUCGGGAAACCGGAGCUAAUACCGGAUAGGACUUUUCUUCACAUGAAGGGAAGUGGAAAGACGGUUUCGGCUGUCACUUAGGGAUGGGCCCGCGGCGCAUUAGCUAGUUGGUGAGGUAACGGCUCACCAAGGCCACGAUGCGUAGCCGACCUGAGAGGGUGAUCGGCCACACUGGGACUGAGACACGGCCCAGACUCCUACGGGAGGCAGCAGUAGGGAAUCUUCCGCAAUGGACGAAAGUCUGACGGAGCAACGCCGCGUGAGUGAAGAAGGUUUUCGGAUCGUAAAACUCUGUUGUCAGGGAAGAACAAGUACCAUAGUAACUGAUGGUACCUUGACGGUACCUGACCAAAAAGCCACGGGCUAACUACGUGCCAGCAGCCGCGGUAAUACGUAGGUGGCAAGCGUUGUCCGGAUUUAUUGGGCGUAAAGCGCGCGCAGGCGGUCUUUUUAAGUCUGAUGUGAAAGCCCACGGCUCAACCGUGGGAGGGUCAUUGGAAACUGGGAAGACUUGAAGUGC